ACGAAGGGGGCGAGCGUUGUUCGGAAUUACUGGGCGUAAAGGGCGCGCAGGCGGCCUUAGAAGUCAGAUGUGAAAGCCCCGGGCUCAACCUGGGAAUAGCAUUUGAUACUCUGAGGCUGGAGUACGGGAGAGGAGAGUGGAAUUCCCAGUGUAGAGGUGAAAUUCGUAGAUAUUGGGAAGAACACCGGUGGCGAAGGCGGCUCUCUGGACCGUAACUGACGCUGAGGCGCGAAAGCGUGGGGAGCAAACAGG
rnacentral:rRNA from 1 species